GAUGUGGAUGAGGCAAAUUGCUCUGCUGUGUGGCUGAGCUCUUAUUAUUGGGUGAACCUUAGCUAUAUUUAAGGGCUGAAGCAUUUAUGCCCUGUAAGCUGGACCUAGAUGGUUUUGUCUGUGGAGCCUACCUGGAAAAGAUGAAUUGAGGUCAGCUGUAACAACCAAAGCACAACCUGCUGAGUAUUUCUUACUGGAACCAUCUGACCAGCUCUGUGUUAGGAAGUUGCACUUGAGGAGAGGAUUCUCCAAGAUGCAAGAAUUAACUUAAGCAAUGUCUCAUGAUGGAGUUCUCCAGGAAUAUGAGCUGUCAGGUGGAUGAGGAAGCUGCACAGUAUGAGCUCAGAAGAGGUGGGUGCUCAGAGUGGAGAGGGUGCGAAGAUGUGUGAUGUUGUUAGAGAGCACAAAGCUGGCUUGCAGACCUCAGACAGUUCAAAAGGAAUGGCUGUGGGUUAACAGCACUCACUCUGCCACCAGAGUAAGCAGAAAUGAGAGGAAGAGAUCAGAUUAAGCUGGCAGAUCAAAUAAUCCUGAAGAUCUUGGAAGGAAGCAGCACUGUUAAAACUGAAGCAAUGGUCAUAACAGUGCUCAGCUCUUCUCAACAUUGCAAAUAUCAUUCUUGGGAGUAUUUAAAGCUUGCAGAAGGUGCAGGAGUCCAUCUGAGGAAGGUGGAUGUACGAAGGCAGCUUUUGGUCUCUCGAUUUUUACAUUUUGAAGUAAGAUUUGAGGCAAUUCUUGUUAUUG